CCCCCGUGGCUUGUUCAUGGGAUCUCGAGCGGACGAUUCACAAGCUUGCUUUUGGAUCGUUAGCGGCGGACGGGUGAGUAACACGUGGGCAACCUGCCCUGUAGACGGGGAUAACACCGAGAAAUCGGUGCUAAUACCGGAUAACACGAAAGGUCGCAUGGUCUUUCGUUGAAAGACGGCGCAAGCUGUCGCUACAGGAUGGGCCCGCGGCGCAUUAGCUAGUUGGUGAGGUAACGGCUCACCAAGGCGACGAUGCGUAGCCGACCUGAGAGGGUGAUCGGCCACACUGGGACUGAGACACGGCCCAGACUCCUACGGGAGGCAGCAGUAGGGAAUCUUCCGCAAUGGACGAAAGUCUGACGGAGCAACGCCGCGUGAGCGAAGAAGGCCUUCGGGUCGUAAAGCUCUGUUGUUAGGGAAGAACAAGUACCGCAGUCACUGGCGGUACCUUGACGGUACCUAACAAGGAAGCCACGGCUAACUACGUGCCACCACCGCGGUAAUACGUAUGUGGCAAGCGUUUUCCGUAAUUAUUGGGCUUAAACCGCGCCAUGCAGUUUCCUUAAGUCUGAAUGUAAAAACCCCCCGCUUUAACCCUUG
rnacentral:rRNA from 1 species